AACCGCUGCCCUUAUAUCCGGGUUCAGGUAGCACCAAGGAGCAGCUGCUCAUCUCAAAUGAAGACGCUGGAGGACUCAGAGCCCCAAAGCAGACAUGAGAACGUGGGGGGAUGCCCUGGCUGAGACCCUCUUAGACACGACAAGCCUUUAGUAUGUAGAACGUGUUCCCUGCUAUCCACAAGCACGAAACUCUAUACAGACUUGACUUUCUCUCUAAUGGAGUUCCCCUGUAGAUGACAUCGAUUCUCUGAAAGAAAUCUGCUCACAAAAUCUUUCCAGUUGUAUUCUGCAGAUCUCAACAACUGAGCUGAACACAACUCCACAGACAUUUGUAAACUGCAGAAGGGAAAUCAAAUUUUUCAGUACUGCAAGUGGAAAAUAAACAAAAAAGAAGAAAAGGAGAAUUUCUUAGUAAAAUCUUCUACCAAACAUUCCCUUAAACAACUCUGUAUUCUCUGCUGAU